rnacentral:tRNA from 1 species
GGUUAUUUAGUUUGUUAAAAAUGUAGGUUUUGUAGUCCUAAGAUAAUUUCUAAUUAUUAACCU